rnacentral:rRNA from 1 species
AUGGGCGAAAGCCUGACAAGGUUACUCUGAGUGAUUUCCGCUAAGGGAAUCUUUUGGCACCUCUAAAAAUGGUGCAGAAUAAGGGGUGGGCAAGUCUGGUGUCAGCCGCCGCGGUAAUACCAGCACCCCGAGUGGUCGGGACGAUUAUUGGGCCUAAAGCAUCCGUAGCCGGUCUUGCAAGUCUUCCGUUAAAUCCACCUGUUUAACAGAUGGGCUGCGGAGGAUACUAUAAGGCUAGGAGGCGGGAGAGGCAAGCGGUACUCAGUGGGUAGGGGUAAAAUCCUCUGAUCCAUUGAAGACCACCAGUGGCGAAGGCGGCUUGCCAGAACGCGCUCGACGGUGAGGGAUGAAAGCUGGGGGAGCAAACCGGAUUAGAUACCCGGGUAGUCC